rnacentral:rRNA from 1 species
GAUGAACGCUGGCGGCGUGCUUAACACAUGCAAGUCGAACGGUGAAGGCGGAGCUUGCUCUGCUGGAUCAGUGGCGAACGGGUGAGUAACACGUGAGUAAUCUGCCCCUGACUCUGGGAUAAGCGCUGGAAACGGCGUCUAAUACUGGAUACGAGCUGCGAAGGCAUGUUCAGCAGCUGGAAGGAUCGUCGGUCGGGGAUGAGCUCGCGGCCUAUCAGCUUGUUGGUGGGGUAGUGGCUCACCAAGGCGUCGACGGGUAGCCGGCCUGAGAGGGUGACCGGCCACACUGGGACUGAGACACGGCCCAGACUCCUACGGGAGGCAGCAGUGGGGAAUAUUGCACAAUGGGCGGAAGCCUGAUGCAGCAACGCCGCGUGCGGGAUGACGGCCUUCGGGUUGUAAACCGCUUUUGGCUGUGAAGAAGCGAGAGUGACGGUAAUGGGUAAAAAAGCACCGGCUAACUACGUG